CCGUGGAGGCCUGCUCCUCAUGCUCCUCCUCUGGAUCUAAUUCUUGAUUCUUGCGUCGGUCUGAACUGUGCGAUUUACGUUUCGUCAGAGGUCUGUUCUUGGGAUUCUAGUGCUGUUGAUCUCGUCAAGGGCCUCAUCUGCUUUCUUUCAUCUUGUGAAGGUGAUUAUUAUUAGUACUUUCCCUGCUAAUUGUUUACUGUUUCAAUACAUUUUGUUCCUCUAACAUAGUGUCUUUAGCGUUCUUGGUAGAACGGUUUUAUUGUGCAUGGAAUGUUUUAUCCUCUCACCUUAUACUAUUUAUUUGUGUGCUUACAUAUAUUCUUUCCUGCUUCGUAUUGUGUAAUUACUUCGUUUACCUAGAAUGUGUGCUCUGGUGUCCUUUGUUCUUCCAAUUUUGGAACUGUGGCAGCACAAUGUGCAUUGCUUCCGCCUUUUUACUUGUGUGAGAUCGACGGGAAUGGUCAUGUGCUUGCUGGUGUAGAGAUUGAUGUUCCUGGGGAUGGCCUUAUAGGUAAUAAACCUAGGUUUAUUUUAGAUUCAAAUCACUUAGCUUUUUUUGAGCCAUGGAACCUACAGUUUUACACUGCCAGAUUGAGACAUGGAAAUUCAUGAUGUACUUUGCGAGACCCCUGUCCGUUAGUGCCUCUUUGAUCGGCUCUGCUAUGGCAUUGGAUAAGCCUUUAGUAUAGUGAGCUUUGGUAGAAAAUGGUUCUGCCAUUCUUGAACAGCACCUGUACUAAAACUGAAUAAUUAAAUGCAACCAACAUAGACUUUCCUGCUAUCUAUGAUUACUCAACAAGUUCUUUUAGUUUUAGUCUGACAUGGUAGCUAACACCAAUUGUUCAUAUCUAUCUUCUUUGACCAUACUACAUAUGCAUAGUACUGAUCAAUGGCAAUAAUCCUUAUAUGGCCUUUUUUAUGAGCGAUAAUCUAACAUUUAUAAAAUCAUCUUAGGAUUUCCUAAUGGAUCCUGUACACAUUCCACCAAGGGUUAUUUUGGAUGCUAUGCUGAACACACUCUAUAGCUCCCAAAAGCUGUGUACUACACCCAGCCUACAGGAGACAUUGGUAUAGAGACUGAUUGAGUAUUAUCCAUCUCUGCAGCACUUGCCAAAGAGCACUGUCAAGAGAUUUGUUUGUCAGUCUGAGUCAUCUUGCUACUUUUGCACGUUUAUUUGCAUAUGAAAUCACCAGAAUUUUCGCCAUGGCUCUGGUUCUUGACAUGGUGCUUAAAAGCACUCAUCCCAUCUUGAUUAUUCGCAUACAGUUUUUUGUUUUUGUUUUUACUGAUUCACUUCUAUCGACAUUUUUUUAUGUCCCUUUUUAUGACCAGCUUGGUCAUUUGGUCUGGAUGGAGUCAUUCAACUCGGAAAGAAAAAAGAAUUUGAGAAUGCUUUAUCUUUCAUGCAAUAGUUGCGGUCAAUUGUUCUUGGUUUUUCCUGUAGUAGUUGAUAAUCAGUCUGAACAAUAGUAGAUUAGUAAAGCCAAUAGCAGUUAAUUUGAGACGACUUUUAUCUUCCCUACAGUAGUUAAGGUUGAUUGUUCUUAGUUUUCCCUGUAGUGUUUAAUUUGAUUGUUCUGAGCAUUCAAAUUGUACUCUGUUUGUUUCUCUCCUACUCUUUUCUGACAAAUGUUAUUAUCUGUGCUUCAUUACUACUCUCUCUAAAUCAUGUGAGAGUUGAAUGAUGUUGCAGGAUAACUAUUGAUGGUGAAAAGAUUGUUGUUUUUUAUACUGGUAUAGGGGGGGUAUAAUACAAAUGGUCCUUCAAAUCCAGUUGGAAGCUCCUCCCUGUAAUUGAUGAAGGCAGGAUUUACUAUUUCUAGGGAGUAAGAGGUUUAUUUGUUGAACCAUGAUAUCUAAGGGAGUAAGAGGCAACGUCCAGGGGUAUCUAAGAGAGCUGGUCCAGGCUUGAUGGAAAUCGCUUAGUACAUUCAUGGGAUCACAAACUUUUGGCGUUGGUUGAGAUUAGUGACGCAGGACCAUUAAUAACUAGAAGACUGUGACAAUUAACUUACUGUUUCAUGAAUUAGAGAGGCUGGGUUGGACCAACUCCAUGUUACAGGCCCUUUCCUCAUUGCAUUUCUCUUGACAUUAAAUUGAUUAAAUUAUAAUUUCAGUAGGAAAUCUACAACAUACUCAGAUCAUUAUGAUUACUCUUUCCUGUUUUUGUUUCUAUAUCUAAUUGAUAUAUAGAUUUUGCAUCUUGUCCUAUGACAUGUACUUCUGUAGUUGUGUCCAUUGGACUUACUCUUUUCAUUGUGGCAUCAUGAUUCCUCCUUUUCUUGGCUUGCUAUAUAUGUUUGUUUCAUGGUCCAGUUGGUGUUCCAAAAAUAUGCUCAAUUGUUAUAUGUAUCAAAUACAGUCUCUCCCAGUGGUGUACCAUCUGCUUAUUGUUUUACAUACAGUCGCUUGAUUAUUUUUGUUCCUCUAUAGGCCUCUGGUCCUGUCUGCAGUGUACGGCUAGGUUGUUCGUCCGCCUGGGUCGUAGGUUCUUUCCUUCCUGUUGACGGCAGGUACAAGACUCGAGCAAUGGUUAACGGGCAAGCACUAUAUACACCAUUCAUCUAUGCUAAUAUAGCCUGUCUUUUAAAGCCAAUGUAUGCUAUCACCAAUUGAUCGGAAUAUUUUCUUUCAAGCAUAGCUUUCAUGUAAUGGAAUAUAAGUAUCUUUAUAAGUUGAUUCUAAAUCAAUCUCAUACACAUACUUUGAAUGCUUGGCUCGCUCUCGCUUUUUGCGCCAUGGUCAAGGGUGCAACGAUGACUCUGUCUAAUGUUUAUCACUUCAUAGCGCCUAUAUGUGACUAUCUACUUUGUUUGCUAAUAACAUUGUAAAUAAUUAAUCGUAAGCUUCUUAGAACACUAUGUAUCAUUACUAAGUAUCUAUCUACCAGCAAUAAGUACUUAUUUUCAUAUGUUUCAA